AGCCCAAUAAGAAGCUCGUUCGUGAGAUCGCGAAAAAACUGAAAAUGGGAGACGAGACGAUGAAUACGCAUUAACAUUAGGGUUCAAGCGUUCCUGAUAAUUGAAACAAAAUCCCAAAGAAAAUGUUCAGAAGAAGGUUUCUCUCAUUUCCUCUGGUUAUUGGUGCUGCCGUCUCUGUGCCGGAUUAAUAUGAAUCAAAUUGUUACCUGUUUUGUUAUGUUGGUGAGACUGGUCAUGAAUUCGCUCGAGUUCUUGUCUUAAGCCCCAAUUGUAAGGUGAUAUCUGUUGAUUGAUCACACAAUAAUUCCAAAUAGGUCAUCAUGUCAUGUUUUUCCUAGAAGCUAGAUCUUUCAUUUGUAUAUGUUGAAAAGUUUAAUCAAUGUACAAGAUAUCCAUUGUUCACAAACCAUGAAAGUUGAUUAAUGUUAAUAAUGAAGUACUUUGUUCAAGUUUCAACUUUCAAAUGAUCUGCUAGAUUUUUUUCCUUAAAAUUUAAAGUACUUUUCUAUCCAGUGUCUGUUUCGACAGUAUUGGAUGCAUAUGGUAGUUCAUAGUUGUGACUUGUGAGCGAGCCAAGCAUUGUUGUGUAAUAGUCCAAAUGAAUCCUUCCUCUUUACUAAAGGGCAUUAGUUUAGGGGUGUAGCUUACGGUGUCGUUUGGUUGCCAUAACUCAUUAUCAUAUGAUUAUCUAUCUAAGUUUAAGUUGUGAGAUUCAAUCUCAAGAACCAAACACAACACAUAUUCAAUCUAAGUUUAAGUUUAAGUUGUGAGAUACUAUAAUCUUGUAGACCGAACAACCCUAUGUAGAUAAACAUAAAAUUGGUUAAUUCACUAUAUACUUCGAUGGAUUCAAUUAUCUUGUACUUGUUUGAUUAUGGAAUCCUGAUUGUUAAAAAUAUAAUUAUAAACCGAUGUGGACACCUUGCGUGGUGGACAACGUGCUGCAUACUCUUUCAACGCACAUGCUAUUGUCUGAAUCAGUUUAAAAAGAAAGCAUACAAAGGAUACUGAUGCUCUUCCUUUCUUUAUCUAUAACUUUCUAUCUAUUUUGAGGUUAGGUGUCUUAAAGAUCUAAGCUUUUAGAAAAAUGUGAUUAUAUAAUACAUGUGAUGCAGCAAUAUUUGAAGGAAAGAUGAUUGUGAAUAAGUUCAUUUCUAGUUGUGGAAGUAUGAUGCAAUUACUUUUACUGUGUUGUGUAUGAAGCAUGACUAUCACAUCCUAAGGAUUGGAGUUGUGUCUGGGAAAGCCAUAUUUGGGCCACCUCUUGAAGAGUACUGGAAAAAGAAACUGGAGGAAGAAGCAGCAGCAAAAGAGAAAGAAACCAGCUCUGGUUAAAUGUUUUAAGAAGCUAUGAAGAAUCAUUUAUACAAGCCUUGAAUUACCAAGUAAGGAAUGCCUGCCACUUUCAGGUGGCGAUCGUGCUCUAUCAAACAGAGCAACCACUGCUUGUUUAUGUAACUGCACGCAGUCGAAUUGUUCACUAAAGGGAACACGAUGCAGUAUUUUUGUUAACUGCAUGGAAAUUAUAUUCAUUCAUUGGCCAAAUCACAUCUCUGUUGGCUGAGAAUGAUGUAUUGUUGCUGUAAGCAAAUAAAAGUUUGCCCAUUUGAAA